GCCCGAGUAGCUCAGCCGGCAGAGCAGCUGUCUUGUAAACAGCAGGUCGCAGGUUCAAUUCCUGUCUCGGGCUCCA
rnacentral:tRNA from 1 species